GCGCCCAUAGCUCAGCUGGUAGAGCAGUUGCCUCUUAAGCAAACGGUCGCAGGUUCGAUCCCUGCUGGGCGCACCA
rnacentral:tRNA from 1 species